rnacentral:rRNA from 1 species
UGGGGAAUUUUGGACAAUGGGCGAAAGCCUGAUCCAGCAAUGCCGCGUGUGUGAAGAAGGCCUUCGGGUUGUAAAGCACUUUUGUCCGGAAAGAAAUCCUUGGCUCUAAUACAGUCGGGGGAUGACGGUACCGGAAGAAUAAGCACCGGCUAACUACGUGCCAGCAGCCGCGGUAAUACGUAGGGUGCAAGCGUUAAUCGGAAUUACUGGGCGUAAAGCGUGCGCAGGCGGUUUGCUAAGACCGAUGUGAAAUCCCCGGGCUCAACCUGGGAACUGCAUUGGUGACUGGCAGGCUAGAGUAUGGCAGAGGGGGGUAGAAUUCCACGUGUAGCAGUGAAAUGCGUAGAGAUGUGGAGGAAUACCGAUGGCGAAGGCAGCCCCCUGGGCCAAUACUGACGCUCAUGCACGAAAGCGUGGGGAGCAAACAGGAUUAGAUACCCUGGUAGUCCACGCCCUAAACGAUGUCAACUAGUUGUUGGGGAUUCAUUUCCUUAGUAACGUAGCUAACGCGUGAAGUUGACCGCCUGGGGAGUACGGUCGCAAGAUUAAAACUCAAAGGAAUUGACGAGGUC